AAAAUCCGUNNACUUUAGAAAUCGUGAGGGUUCAAGUCCCUCUAUCCCCA
rnacentral:tRNA from 1 species